CCUACGGGAGGCAGCAGUGAGGAAUAUUGGUCAAUGGACGAGAGUCUGAACCAGCCAAGUAGCGUGAAGGAUGACUGCCCUAUGGGUUGUAAACUUCUUUUAUAUGGGAAUAAAAUGUUCCACGUGUGGGAUUUUGUAUGUACCAUAUGAAUAAGGAUCGGCUAACUCCGUGCCAGCAGCCGCGGUAAUACGGAGGAUCCGAGCGUUAUCCGGAUUUAUUGGGUUUAAAGGGAGCGUAGGUGGAUUGUUAAGUCAGUUGUGAAAGUUUGCGGCUCAACCGUAAAAGUGCAGUUGAAACUGGCAGUCUUGAGUACAGUAGAGGUGGGCGGAAUUCGUGGUGUAGCGGUGAAAUGCUUAGAUAUCACGAAGAACUCCGAGUGCGAAGGCAGUUCACUGGACUGCAACUGACACUGAGGCUCGAAAGUGUGGGUAUCAAACAGGAUUAGAUACCCGAGUAGUC
rnacentral:rRNA from 1 species